AUGCGGGACUCAUCAGAGGCCUCGCAAUUGGAAUGAGCGCACUUUAAAUCGUUCGACGAGGAUCUAUUGGAGGGCAAGUCUGGUGCCAGCAGCCGCGGUAAUUCCAGCUCCAAUAGCGUAUAUUAAAGUUGUUGCAGUUAAAAAGCUCGUAGUUGGAUCUGGGGUUCGGGUCGGCGGUUUGCCGCUUCGGCGGCUACUGCCGUGCUCGACUCUUACUAGCCGGUGCGUCUUGCGGUGCUCUUCAUCGAGUGCCGUAGGAGCCUGGCAUGUUUACUUUGAAAAAAAUUAGAGUGCUCAAAGCAGGCGAUUCCGCCUGAAUAGUGUUGCAUGGAAUAAUGGAAUAGGACCUCGGUUCUAUUUUGUUGGUUUUCGGAACUUGAGGUAAUGAUUAAGAGGGACGGUCGGGGGCAUUCGUAUUUCGGUGUUAGAGGUGAAAUUCUUGGAUCGCUGAAAGACGGACAAAUGCGAAAGCAUCUGCCAAGAACGUCUCCAUUAAUCAAGAACGAAAGUCAGAGGUUCGAAGACGAUCAGACACCGUCCUAGUUCUGACCAUAAACGAUGCCAACUAGCGAUCCGCAGUGGUUGCUAUAAACGGACUCUGCGAGCAGCUUCCGGGAAACCAAAGUGUUUGGGUUCCGGGGGAAGUAUGGUUGCAAAGCUGAAACUUAAAGGAAUUGACGGAAGGGCACCACCAGGAGUGGAGCCUGCGGCUUAAUUUGACCCAACACGGGGAAACUCACCCGGUCCGGACACUGUAAGGAUUGACAGAUCGAGAGCUCUUUCUUGAUUCGGUGGAUGGUGGUGCAUGGCCGUUCUUAGUUGGUGGAGUGAUUUGUCUGGUUAAUUCCGAUAACGAACGAGACUCUAGCCUGCUAACUAGUUGCGCCGUGUUCAUACGCGGCUGUAGACUUCUUAGAGGGACAGGUGGCGUUUAGCCACACGAAAUUGAGCAAUAACAGGUCUGUGAUGCCCUUAGAUGUCCGGGGCCGCACGCGCGCUACACUGAAGGAGUCAGCGUGUGCUAUCCGGGCUCGGAAGAGUUCGGUAACCCGUUGAAACUCCUUCGUGCUUGGGAUUGUGGCUUGUAAUUAUCGCGCAUGAACGAGGAAUUCCCAGUAAGUGCAAGUCAUCAGCUUGCGCUGACUACGUCCCUGCCCUUUGUACACACCGCCCGUCGCUACUACCGAUUGAAUGGUUUAGCAAGGUACACGGAUUGGUCUUGAUCUUGUACGAAAGUGCGGGAUCUGUGGCC
rnacentral:rRNA from 1 species